rnacentral:rRNA from 1 species
GACGAACGCUGGCGGCGCGCUUAACACAUGCAAGUCGAACGGAAAGGCCUGCUUUCCCUUGUGGAUUGCGGGUACUCGAGUGGCGAACGGGUGAGUAACACGUGAGUGAUCUGCCCCCAACUUGGGUAUAAGCCUGGGAAACUGGGUCUAAUUCCCGAUAGGACUGCAGGGUGGUGCCUGUGGUGGAAAACGAUUUUCUAGUGGUUGGGGAUGAGCUCGCGGCCUAUCAGCUUGUUGGUGGGGGAAUGGACGACCAAGGCGGCGACGGGUAGCCGGCCUGGGAGGGUGGGCGGCCAAAUUUGGAAUGAGAUACGGCCCAGACCCCCAAGGGAGGCAGCAGGGGGGAAUAUUGGACCAUGGGCGGAAGCCUGAUGCCGCGACGCCGGGGGGGGGAUGACGGCCUUCGGGUUGUAAACUCCUUUCGACCGCGGGGAAGGCACCUGGUUGGAAGGGUGGUGACGGUAGUGGUAGAAGAAGCACCGGCUAACUACGUG